AAACUGGUAAAUGUAAAUAAUUGUUUCCUUGAUUUCCGUCAGCUGUUCCAGCAAAUCAAAUGAACCCAAAGAAGGACCUGGAAUUGCCAACAUGAAGCCAGUCAGUCACAAGUUCCAGACUUUUUCCAUCAUUUGCCACUGAUAUCUGAAGAAAAUGUAUCUCUGAUUCUACUCUAUAUAGAGGGAAAUGCCAGUCUUUUCAGUUUUAAGGAGAUGAAGCGGUACUCCAGCCUCCAUUGCUAGGCUUUCCCCUACUAAUCCAGACUCCAUCCAACUGAGGACAGUCAUUUUCACGGACUGCUAGAACAUCAAAGAAUGUUGUCUGCCAGCUAACACUACACAUCAGAAACAGGAAGAAAAAGAAGCAAUUGGUGGAAGUGGAAAAGAUGUAUCAUUUGGUUGCUCCAUCACAAGAAUUGAGUAGGUGUGAUGUGGUGCUGAGAAGAAUAUACAUUCAAAAGAUUCGAGGAAAUGAUAACAAGAAUGGAUAACUUAGAGAGGAAUAUGAAUGAAUUGAAGGAGCUGAAAACCACAAUACGAGAACUUCGCGAAGCAUGCACAAGUUUCAACAGCUGAACUGACCAAGCAGAAGAAAGAAUAUCAGAUACCGAAGGUCAACUCAAUGAAAUAAAACGAGAAACCAAGAUUAGAGAAAAAAAGCACAAAAAGGA
rnacentral:lncRNA from 1 species